rnacentral:lncRNA from 10 species
AUGCCAAACCACAGUGGGAGUUUAGAGAAGACUGUGAUGAGAGUUGGAGCAUUCUUGGGGAGUCUUUGCUGCAGAGAUGGGACUUUAUGCAUCAGUACAUUCUUAAAGUGUCUACGCUGCCCCGGGAUGCUGAGCCCCUGGACACCACAGGUGGCAUUUCAGCUAUGAGUGAGGGGGGGCAUUUGGAAGGGGAGCCCCGAAGGGGAAGACAAUGGCUCAGAGAGAAUGAAGUCAGCACUUCCCAGCCUCUGUGUGCUGCGGUCCAAGGCUUCGGCCGGGAGCACUGCAGAGCAAAAGUUCUGAGAGCCACGGCUCAGGCUUAACUGGCCAGAGCGAGCUUGGCAGCUGCUCUCGUCCCAGCAGGCUUUGCUCUCUGAGGCAGUCAUUCCCACCACACAAAGGCAGUUCUGUGCCUCCCAAAGGUGCUUGGGGCAGGAAUGAAGAGCGGAACAGCCCCCAUCAAUCCAAUAGGAUUGUCGUUUUACGCUGGCGUGGAGCCUCAGACAUCAAAAGGGCUGGAGAGUGAAGCCACGUGUGAGCCGUGAAGUUGGUGACCCUGAGGCACAGAAAGCUGAGGGAAUUUGUUCGAAGUCACACAGCUGGGUCCUUGCAGAUGUAAUCGGGUGAAGAUGGGUUCAUAUUGGAUUGGAGUGAGUCAUAAUCCACUGUGACUGGUGUCUUUAAAAGAAAAGGACACACGGAAAUUCAGAGACAGAAAGACCCACAGGGAGAAUGCCAUGUGAUGACAGAGGCAGAGACUGGAGUGAUGGGUCUAUAGCCAACGGACACCAAAGACUCUCAUCCACCAGAAGCUGGAAGAGGCAAGAAGUGGAAAAGCAUUUGGGAGGAAGUGGAACCAAAGCAGAUCCUAUCCAAGGUGAAUGGCAAGCAGCUAUAUGAGGAUGGCCUUGCUCCCAGCCGGAUCUCCCAUCCUCAAGAAGGCCAGCCCAGGCUUCAUCACACAGCAGUGGAAGAGUUCUGAUUUAAGAGAAGAAGAGUGGAAGCUGCAGGUCCUGUUGAGACCUGGACUAGGAAGACACACAAUGCCACUUCUGCCACAUUCUAGUUGUCAUUUCUGGUUGUGAAAGCAAGUCCCAGGGCCAGUCAAGAUUCAAGGAAAGGGUUUGGGAGCAGAGAGAACAAAAGAUCCCACAUGGGUCUUCAAUUCUAAGCCACAUGUUCCUGAUUUGGAGUCUACAGGGCUUGCAAAACUGACAGUCAUGCCAUUGGUGUGUACAUGCUCUCUUGAAGACCUCAUGGAGAGCACAAAUGAUUUGCUGGGUGUACAUGUGGCGUUCUUGGGGUGAAGGACAAUACAGUGAAGGAGCCUGAAGUAAGAAGGAACAUGCUAGGUCCCUUUUUUUGUCAAUGGACUGCAUCCUUGAUACUUCUUGUUAUACUUCAGAAUAAAAAUUAGCGGGGCAGAAGCUGUCAUCUGUGUGUGCACCUCA